AUUGUGGUAGCCCCCAAAAUAUUGGGACAUAUAAAAAAAAGACAACUGUUCCGCAGAGUAGCUGUUGACAUUAUAGUUGUGCAGGAACUUUGUUGACUCUAGAGAACCUCAGGCAAAUCGCACAUUCCCGUGGCGGCGACUUUGCAUGCGGAUGUCAUCCAUAUCAACUUUCGAUGCCAGUUUCUGCGCCUACCAUGGUGACCAUGGGUAACAGGGAAUUAGCAUUCCAUACAGGGACCCUGAGAAUCGGCUACCACAUGCAAGGAAGGCAGCAGGCGCAAAUGACCCACUCCCAACACGGGAAGGCAGUGACGAU